AUUAAAACCCCAGAAAAUUCUGUAAGCCGGGCUCUUGAGCCUCUAUGAUUGGGCUGUUCCCACACUGUGGCGUGUACUUUUAUUCUCAAUAAAUCCCUGCUUUUGCUUUCCUUGCCUCA
ensembl:lncRNA novel transcript